GUAGCAGGCAACAAAAAUAUGUAAUUCUUCCAACACUUGCUUGGUAUUGGUUUAAACUCAAGAUUGUCCCAGCAACAUGUGUUGGUGGAGGGAUCCAUGAUGGCAUGGCAGAAAUGAAGUCUAACAAUCUUUCAUAUUCUUAUGUGAAAUACCAUCAAUCUGCACACCAGAAACUAUACUAUGCUGCAUGUCUGCUACUUUUUUCUUCACAUCUUUGCGUUCUUCACUUAACAUGAGUUUUCU
rnacentral:misc_RNA from 1 species